rnacentral:rRNA from 1 species
GUGGACUCUCAAGCGUGAGGUAAGAGCAUUUGGUGAAUGCCUUGGCAUAUACAGGCGAUGAAGGACGUGGCACGCUGCGAUAAGCGUGGGGGAGCCGUGAGCAGGCUUUGAUCCCACGAUUUCCGAAUGGGGAAACCCAUCCUCACUAUUUAAUUUCGCUGCUGAGCAAUCAGUGUCGGAGUUAAAUAGGAAGGAUAUCACUUAGCUGAAUAAAAUAGGCUUAGUGAAGCGAACCCGGAGAACUGAAACAUCUCAGUACCCGGAGGAAAAGACAUCAACCGAGAUUCCGUUAGUAGUGGCGAGCGAACGCGGACCAGGCCAGUGCCUGGUGUUUAAUUAGCAAAAGCUUCUCUCUAAGCCUAAAUACUCGUAUAUGACCGAUAGCGAACUAGUACCGUGAGGGAAAGGUGAAAAGCACCCCGAUGAGGGGAGUGAAACAGUACCUGAAACCGAAUGCUUACAAUCAGUUGGAGCCUCUUUAUGGGGUGACAGCGUACCUCUUGUAUAAUGGGUCUGUGACUUAAUGUAUCAUGCAAGCUUAAGCCGUUAGGUGUAGGCGUAGCGAAAGCGAGUCUGAAUAGGGCGACUGAGUAUGAUGCAUUAGACCCGAAACCCGGCGAUCUAUGCAUGACCAGGUUGAAGGUGCGGUAACACGCACUGGAGGACCGAACCGUUCAAUGUUGAAAAAUUGUCGGAUGAGUUGUGCUUAGGGGUGAAAGGCCAAUCAAGCCGGGAAAUAGCUGGUUCUCCGCGAAAACUAUUGAGGUAGUGCCUCGGAUGUUUUCCGAUGGGGGUAGAGCACUGGAUGGAUGCGGGGGUCGCGAGAUCUACCAAUUCUAACCAAACUCCGAAUACCAUCGAGUUAGUCCGGGAGACAGACGGCGGGUGCUAAGGUCCGUCGUCAAAAGGGAAACAGCCCUAACCUACAGCUAAGGUCCCCAAAUCAUAUCUAAGUGGUGAAGCAUGUGGGAUUUCCAAAACAACCAGGAGGUUGGCUUAGAAGCAGCCAUCCUUUAAAGAAAGCGUAACAGCUCACUGGUCUAAAUAAGAGAUCCUGCGGCGAAAAUGUAACGGGGCUAAAGAUAUGUACCGAAGCUUAGGGUGUGCAAUUUAUUGCAUGCGGUAGCGGAGCGUUCCGUAGGCCGAUGAAGCGAUCUGGUAAUGGGUCGUGGAGGUAUCGGAAGUGCGAAUGCAGACAUGAGUAGCGAUAGGAGGGUGAGACACCCUCCCGCCGAAAGACCAAGGGUUCCUGCUUAAAGCUAAUCUGAGCAGGGUAAGCCGGCCCCUAAGACGAGCCCGAAGGGGGUAGUCGAUGGGAACCACGUUAAUAUUCGUGGGCCUGGUGGUGUGUGACGGAUCUCGUGAGUUGUCAGUUCUUAUUGGAUUGAACUGGCUUCGAAGAGGUUCCAGGAAAUAGCCCCACCGUAUAGACCGUACCCGAAACCGACACAGGUGGUCAGGUAGAGUAUACCAAGGCGUUUGAGAGAAGUAUCCUGAAGGAACUCGGCAAAUUGCCUCCGUACCUUCGGAAGAAGGAGGCCCUCACAUUGCGCAAGCAGUAUGAGGGGGCACAGGCCAGGGGGUAGCGACUGUUUAGCAAAAACACAGGACUCUGCUAAGUCGGCUUCAAGACGACGUAUAGGGUCUGACGCCUGCCC